GCUCUUCUGGAGGAAUUGGCAGACUCGUCACACUUAGAACGUGAUGUCGAAAGACGUAGGGGUUCGAGUCCCCUGAAGAGCA
rnacentral:tRNA from 1 species